GACAGAGGGUGCAAACGUUGUUCGGAAUUACUGGGCGUAAAGCGCGUGUAGGCUGCUUGGAAAGUCGGAUGUGAAAGCCCGUUGCUCAACAACGGAACUGCCCUGGAAACUGGCGCGCUUGAGUACAGACGAGGGUGGCGGAAUGGAUGCUGUAGCGGUGAAAUGCAUAGAUAGCAUCCAGAACCCCGAUUGCGAAGGCAGCUGCCUAGACUGUAACUGACGCUGAGGCACGAAAGCGUGGGGAGCGAACAGG
rnacentral:rRNA from 1 species